rnacentral:ncRNA from 1 species
GCGUAUUUCGCACAGGCGGAGCUCGACCGCCGCUUGAAAUCGUAAGAGGAUUCAUCGAUACCCACCGUGAGCAGCACGGGGUCGAGCCGAUCUGCAAGCUGUUACAGGUCGCCCC